UGUCUCCUCUAUUCUCCUCCAAGAAUAGAUUCAGCCCGCUCCUGCAGCGGGCUUUUUUUU
rnacentral:ncRNA from 1 species